rnacentral:lncRNA from 1 species
AAGUCCUGUGUUCGGGGGCAAUCAGAUAGUCUAGUCGUAGCUUGUCUGGAUUUGUCCUGUGAGCAGUCGAGUUCGUUUUCCUUUAUCAUCCUCCCCCUCUAUAUGGGAUGUUCCUUUAAUAGCUUAAUGACAUUCUAUUUCGUUCCGUCGGCGAUCCUCGUUAUCAUGUCUCCUUCUCUUUCAGUUCCUCUAGCUAGGCAAUCUCUUCUAGAUUGACAGAAUUACAUCAACAGAGUUUCAAUUCUUCGUGUAUUAGUGUAUUAGGAACCACCGGUGUGAAGCCCGGUAGUCGAAAAUGAGCCUAACCAAAUGAAUGGUGGACUUCAGGCCAUAGGGGCCCAACUCUAUACUCUAUAUCGAUGUCCCACCCUGAUGGUUUAGUCCGAGCGAGACCCCAUCCUUCGUGCACUCUGGAAACUAGUAUACCUUGGACAAUCAGACCAGACCAUUGGUAGCCAUUCCUCCUUCCCAGUUUGAUUGAAAUCCCUUACUCAUCACUCGGAGGCUUACCAUGAAGUCGUUGGAAGCGGCAGCAUUUAGGAGUGUAUUGCCUGAAGCACAGGAUAGACUAAUUACGGUAAUUAGCUCCCGUGGAUUCUCGAAUGCCAGCCAUAGACAAAAAAAGGUGUUUUAUAGGGAAGGCCCAAUACAAUCAAGAGUCAUUCCCACCAACAUCAAAGUGGACAUUUUCCUACUUGUUUGGAAGUUACCUUCAUUCUAUUGGUUUUGAGAAGGUUGCGCUCCAUUUCAUAUUGGAAUAUGCCGAGCAAAGUGCUAUCUUUCUAGCGGUAGCGGGAGGUCUCCUACAAUAGGGCUCCUACGAUAGGGAGAGCAGGCGGGCUUCUACUUUACUUGUAUGUUUAAGCAUGGUACGCAGGAUCAUAGUCUAUUGAUUUAGCAUAAGAAGGUGAACCGGGUGGCUCUCUAAACUCUCUUUUGACCUUUAUUUCUUCUCCUUAUCUUAUAUAUAAUAUGGAUUCAGCAUUCAAGCAAAGAAAGCAGGAAGAACGAAUUCAAUGGCUGAAAGUUCCAUUUGAAAUAUCCCUGGGCCUUUCGCCUCUUCAAGCGUCCACGUCCACUUUUGUCAAUUCUCAAGUGAUGAGCAGGCUCUUUCUUCUCGGAAUAAAGAAGAAAAGACUUGCUUGCUACUAGCAACUUUCACUUUGAGUCUCCCUGUCCUGGAGAACUAGCUAAAGCCCCAGACGAUUGAUCCACCUACUAAGCCAGCCGCUCAAUACCUCUUUUCUUUGUUUGCACGGCCUAGCUACUUUCUAGUAAGAACUAGAUAGAUUGCAAUCUCUAGUAAGAACUAGAUAGAUGGCAAUGGAGUUUACUUUUCAAAGCUUUUAUUGUUUGAAAACUUGCUUGCUCGAUCGUUUUUAAGGAGUAUGUGCUAUGCCAUGGAGCUAGUACUAGAUUAUCCAAAGUUCAGAUCCAGAUUGAAAGAUGGGAUAUUUCCUGCGUGAUUUACAGGAUCUCACAAUCAGACUCUUCCUUCAUCCCGACAGUGGAACCAACCCAAGAAAGAGUAGAUUUCAAAGUCAGUUGACAGCUGGGUAUCCCAGAACUUAAGGGCGGGUCUCCCGUCCGUCUUAUCUACUAUUAGCUUUCUACUUCAAAGCUUUCUGCUUCAAUCAAAGUGUAGGUUUAGGUAUCGAAUCUGAAACUAGAGCUCGGGGCAGAGGAAGAAGAAAGUUCUUAUUGAGCGCUCUAUGUCCUAAUUGUAUUUCCGCUGUUUCAACAGAAGAUUGAUAAGUAUCAGAGGCUGUGGGGUAUCUCGGUUAAGCAUCUCUGGACUUUGAC